GAAUCAUCGAAUCUUUGAACGCACAUUGCGCCUCCUGGUACUCCGGGAGGCAUGCCUGUCCGAGCGUCAUUAUAACCCUCUCAAGCAUCAUUGCUUGGUGUUGGAGCUGGAGCGUCCUCCGCGGCGGUCCGUUCCGAAUUCCAAUGGCAGACGGCGGUGUCAACGUCAGCGUAGUGAGCAUUUUGCAUCGCGAAGCGUAGUCGCCCGUCCAGCCGAACCAAAAACCCUUCUUUAUAAUGUUGACCUCGGAUCAGGUAGGGAUACCCGCUGAACUUAAGCAUAUCAAUAAGCGGAGGAAAAGAAACCAACAGGGAUUGCCUCAGUAACUGCGAGUGAAGCGGCAAGAGCUCAAAUUUUAAAUCUGGCGUCUUUGGGCGUCCGAGUUGUAAUUUGGAGAGACAUCUUCGGAGAAGGGGCCGUUCCAAGUUCCUUGGAACAGGACGUCACAGAGGGUGAGAAUCCCGUGCUCGGGCGGCUACCCGUCUCCAUGUGAAGUGUCUUCGACGAGUCGAGUUGUUUGGGAAUGCAGCUCAAAAUGGGUGGUAAAUUUCAUCUAAAGCUAAAUAUUGGCGAGAGACCGAUAGCGCACAAGUAGAGUGAUCGAAAGAUGAAAAGCACUUUGAAAAGAGAGUUAAAAAGUACGUGAAAUUGUUGAAAGGGAAGCGCUCGAGACCAGACUCGACUUUCACCGAUCAGCCGUGCUUCUGUGCGGUGCACUCGGGGUUUGUCGGGCCAGCAUCGGUUCCGGCGGUGGGAUAAAAGGCGAUGGAAUGUGGCUCCCCUCGGGGAGUGUUAUAGCCAACGUCACAAUGCCACCAGCUGGGACCGAGGAACGCGCU
rnacentral:rRNA from 1 species